UUCGUACCUAGGCAAACUCUUUGUAGCUAGGCUGUAUAUCAAGAUAUGACAAAUACUGAGCUUAACUUCACCUGUCUGAGGGACGGUACUCACUGAUGACUUCCGUGAAUGCUGUGUUGAUGGGGUAAUGGGCCUGCAAAUAACAUUGAAGUGGGUACAGGAUUGAGGCGGAGAUGAAGAAUUGGCAUCCUCAAGCAGACAUUUCUUUUUCCAUGUUUAGCUGUGGAUGAUAGAGACAUCAGAUGUGGUCAUAAUUAGAAGCACUAUGAAGCACUAUGGCUAAUUUUGUAAGUGGAAGUAGACUGACAUGAUGCCAUGUCUGGCAAGAUUUUGAGCAGAUUUGGAGAAAUGUUGCUCUUUGCUCUUUUGAUCUUACACUUUCUAAAGGAAUAAAAUAAUUCUCCUUCCCCUUUUUAAUGCA